GUAGGUGGCAAGCGUUGUCCGGAAUUAUUGGGCGUAAAGCGCGCGCAGGCGGGUCCUUUAAGUCUGAUGUGAAAGCCCACGGGCUCAACCGUGGAGGGUCAUUGGAAACUGGGGGACUUGAGUACAGAAGAGGAAAGCGGAAUUCCAAGUGUAGCAGUGAAAUGCGUAGAGAUUUGGAGGAACACCAGUGGCGAAGGCGGCUUUCUGGUCUGUAACUGACGCUGAGGCGCGAAAGCGUGGGGAGCAAACAGGAUUAGAUACCCUGGUAGUCCACGCCGUAAACGAUGAGUGCUAAGUGUUAGGGGGUUUCCGCCCCUUAGUGCUGCAGCUAACGCAUUAAGCACUCCGCCUGGGGAGUACGGCCGCAAGGCUG
rnacentral:rRNA from 1 species